UACGGGGGGUGCGAGCGUUGUUCGGAUUCAUUGGGCGUAAAGGGUGCGUAGGCGGCGCGGUAAGUCGGGUGUGAAAUCUCGGAGCUUAACUCCGAAACUGCAUUCGAUACUGCCGUGCUUGAGGACUGGAGAGGAGACUGGAAUUUACGGUGUAGCGGUGAAAUGCGUAGAUAUCGUAAGGAAGACCAGUGGCGAAGGCGGGUCUCUGGACAGUUCCUGACGCUGAGGCACGAAGGCCAGGGGAGCAAACGGG
rnacentral:rRNA from 1 species